GGUGUCCACCACACGCUGUCGGCUUCAAGUCUCUGAAGUUGGUAUAUCCGCCACCAAAUCAAGGUCUCCACUAUCAACCUUGUUUUCGUGAGCUAUCUCCUGCAUCAAGCACAGGUUCGUAGUGAUUGUAAUAACAAAUGAAAUAUAUAACGUCAGCACCAGAGAAUAAUCAGUCUGGGUUAUCAUAGAUAACUCCAUCAGUCGUAAAAGGUCAAGCUGAUCACACAAUAUCAGCGGUGACAUCAGAAGUUUGUCAAUCGGAAGAUAUUUUCCGUAAGACACAUUUUGCGCACCAAAUAGUACGCGUUUGUUUCUUGUCUCUCAGAUCCUAUCCUGCACGCUUAACAUAUGGUUACGUAGAGAAUGGUUUCCAGGUAACUUGAUAAUGCGUAAGUACAGUAUAGGUGUUUCAUAGUACAUAAGUACAGUAUAGGUAGUUUCAUAUCAAUAAGUACAGUAUAGGUAGUUUCAAAGUACAUGAGUACAGUAUAGGUCCCUUCAUAGUACAUAAGUACAGUAUAGGUAGAUUCAUAGUACAUAAGUAGAGUAUAGGUAUGUUCAUAUUACAUAAGUACAGUAUAGGUAGUUUCAAAGUACAUAAGUAUAGUAUAGGUAGUUUAAAAGUACAUAAGUAUAGUAUAGGUAUGUUCAAAGUACAUAAGUAGAGUAUAGGUAGCUUCAUAGUACAUAAGUACAGUAUAGGUAGUUUCAUAGUACAUGAGUACAGUAUAGGUAGCUUCAUACUAC